GCAGUCGACGGUGAAGAGAGCUUGCUCUCUGGAUCAGUGGCGAACGGGUGAGUAACACGUGAGCAAUCUGCCCCUGACUCUGGGAUAACAGUUGGAAACAGCUGCUAAUACCGGAUACGAGCUUCGAAGGCAUCUUCAAAAGCUGGAAAGAACUUCGGUCAGGGAUGAGCUCGCGGCCUAUCAGCUAGUUGGUGAGGUAAUGGCUCACCAAGGCGUCGACGGGUAGCCGGCCUGAGAGGGUGACCGGCCACACUGGGACUGAGACACGGCCCAGACUCCUACGGGAGGCAGCAGUGGGGAAUAUUGCACAAUGGGCGCAAGCCUGAUGCAGCAACGCCGCGUGAGGGACGACGGCCUUCGGGUUGUAAACCUCUUUUAGCAGGGAAGAAGCGAAAGUGACGGUACCUGCAGAAAAAGCGCCGGCUAACUACGUGCCAGCAGCCGCGGUAAUACGUAGGGCGCAAGCGUUAUCCGGAAUUAUUGGGCGUAAAGAGCUCGUAGGCGGUUUGUCGCGUCUGCUGUGAAAACUGGAGGCUCAACCUCCAGCCUGCAGUGGGUACGGGCAGACUAGAGUGCGGUAGGGGAGAUUGGAAUUCCUGGUGUAGCGGUGGAAUGCGCAGAUAUCAGGAGGAACACCGAUGGCGAAGGCAGAUCUCUGGGCCGUAACUGACGCUGAGGAGCGAAAGGGUGGGGAGCAAACAGGCUUAGAUACCCUGGUAGUCCACCCCGUAAACGUUGGGAACUAGUUGUGGGGUCCAUUCCACGGAUUCCGUGACGCAGCUAACGCAUUAAGUUCCCGCCUGGGGGAGUACGGCGCAGGCUAAACUCAAGGAUUGACGGGACCCGCACAGCGGCGGAGCAUGCGAUAUUCGAUGCAC
rnacentral:rRNA from 1 species